AUGAAGGCUGGAAAGAAUAGACGUAAUGUUCGAAGCAGAAUACGACAAUCGAUGUGACUGCUUCCAGCUGUUCACAGAGCAGCACUCUGGAAUAUUUCCUCUUAUGACUAAAGAAUGUGCCAUGCCACGAAUUGCUGUGGAGAAUUUCAUUGGCAAACUGAGCACGUCACAUGGUGGGAACCCGUG